rfam:Picea glauca, whole genome shotgun sequence.
GUAAUGGUGUCUUUAGACACCACCUCUUCUGUCUUCAAAAUUGUAU